GGUUGACCUCGGAUUAGGAAGCAAUACC
rnacentral:rRNA from 1 species